rnacentral:ribozyme from 1 species
AUGAUAACUCCGCCUGUGUCAGAUUGAGACUCAAGACAUUCUUUGCCACAGCCGGUCCCAAGCCCGGAUAAAGGAGGAGGGUCAU